rnacentral:lncRNA from 1 species
UGUUUCAUGUAGGACUGUUGCAUUAGCAUAGGGGGCGAUGAUGAUUUACACCUUGUUAAGUUGCUAUGAUUCACUAGUUGAGAUCAAUGCCCUGGGUUUUUGCUCUUUGAUGCAUGAUGAUUGAACUUGAAGUAAGUCUGAAACAAAAUUGGAAUUUAUGAAGAGCUUUCUUGAACUUGGUUGAAGCAUGUUGUGAUAUGAUCUCAUUCCUUACCUUAUAAGAACUUAAUCUUGACUUGCAAAUAUCUGGUUGUGUUUUGCUUGCAUGCUUAUGGUCACCAUAUACGUAUUUGGAUCAUCUUCCUCCUUUCACCACUCUUGUUGAUCCAAGUAGCUGAUCUUUCUUUUGAUCAGUUUGCCAUACCCACAACCUAUCCUUUUCUUUCAAGCCAAUUGAUAAUUUUUGACUGGUAGGUUUUUUACCGGAUUAUGCAUGGGGAGAACGUGUUAGGUAUGAGCCGACAGGAUUAAAAUCUUGAGUAGUUCUGAUUUUCACUUUCAAAUCAGAUAGGACUAGGUCUGGAUUCUUACUUGGGUUUGGGAUUGGAAUGAUUGUGGAAAGCAAGAAGAGAAACAGAAAAAGUUGUGUCCUUAGAAGGAGAAUGUUUUUCUAGAAGUUUAUACUCUAGUGAUUGAUUUUUGUGAGGAUAGCAUGAUAUACAGAG